rnacentral:rRNA from 1 species
GGGCCCGCACAAGCAGUGGAGCAUGUGGUUUAAUUCGAUGCAACGCGAAGAACCUUACCAGGCCUUGACAUCCUCGGAACUUUCUAGAGAUAGAUUGGUGCCUUCGGGACCGGUGCACAGGUGCUGCAUGGCUGUCGUCAGCUCGUGUCGUGAGAUGUUGGGUUAAGUCCCGCAACGAGCGCAACCCUUAUCCUUAGUUGCCAUCACGUUUGGGUGGGCACUCUAGGGAAACUGCCGGUGCUAAGCCGGAGGAAGGCGGGGAUGACGUCAAGUCCUCAUGGCCCUUACGGGUAGGGCUACACACGUGCUACAAUGGCUAGGACAGACGGCCGCAACCCGUGAGGGGAGCCAA